GAUGAACGCUGGCGGCGCACAUAAGACAUGCAAGUCGAACGAACAUACUCGGAAUAUUUAUCUUUUGAAGCGGCGAGUGGCGGACGGGUGAGUAACGCGUAAGGAACCUGCCUAUUAGAGGGGAAUAAGAGAGAGAAAUCAUUGCUAAGACCGCAUAUGCCAUAGAUAUCACAUGAUAACAGAGGGAAAGGAGCCAUCCGCUAAUAGAUGGCCUUGCGUCGGAUUAGAUAGUUGGUGGGGUAACGGCCUACCAAGUCGACGAUCAGUAGCCGGACUGAGAGGUCUAGCGCCCGAAUCCGGAGUGAGACACGGCCCGGACUCCUACGGCAGUCGGCGGUCGGGAAUCUUGCGAAAUGGACGUAACUCUGGCGCAGUUACGCCGCGUAAAGCACUAUUGUUAUCGGAGUAUAAACUAUUGACUUUAGGUAAGCGAAAGGACAGUACCUAAGGAGGAAGCCCCGGCUAACUACGUG
rnacentral:rRNA from 1 species